GUGUAAAGUUGGUUUUGUGCCUUUAUGUGAAAUUAAAUUUAAAAUGUGAUAAAUUUAUAAUUUUUCGGGACGAAGUGUCAUCGACGUCGUCAAAUGGGCGGUGAGUCUCCAGUUAUAUAUUGUUCUGUCGCGAUGGGUAUCGAACACUAAAGGAAAAUUAGCUAAUAUCAAACGGUGCAAACGAACCACUGGAAGAGGCAAUUUCAGCAACGCGAAUAUUAGUCUAACGGGGUUGGAAGACCGACUUUUGGCUGUAAAAGGCAAAAGUUGCAUUUUAGGGGAUGGCGUAACGAAAGAAAUUGGAAUACCAGAAUCUGACUCUGAUACGAUCCUGUCAUAAGUUUCUGUUGGUCACCGCGAGACACAUUUUUUCAAGGACCCUUGGGAGAUCGUAUGCAUAGGACAGAAAAAUUAAUAUUGAUAUGAAUAAAAUAUUUUUUUAAAUACACUA